GUAGUUAAAACGCCCGUAAGUAAACCAAAGGGUUCAUAGUUAAUUGAUCUUGACCAGUACCGUUCGUAACGUCAGCCACGUAUCGUGGGCGAUAGGACGAAUAAGGACAGGUCCUCGGUCUCUAACGGAAGCUAAGGUUUCCUUAGCAUCCGCCACGGGAUAGGUCAACGAUUAUGGCUCGCUCCCCGCCAGUCCGUAAGGUCUGGUAGGGCCAUUCGGCACAACCGUAAACAAAUCAGAAGUGCUCCAAGCAGGCAAUGUUAGGGGUAACCCAUCCGCUCGAAUGAUUUAGCAUGGAAUUGUCACGAAGCCGAUCGGAAACUUUGAGGGUUUACCUGAGAAGUGGAAGAUCCGGCGCUCGCAAUGAGACACUGGUAGAGGAUCCAAGUACUAUGGCGCGAGAGGUGAAAUUCAGUGACCGCCAUAUGACUAUCUAAUGCGAAAGCAGUUGGUGAUCCAGAACGUGUCUGUCAAUCAGGGACGAAAGUUAAGGGAUCGAAGAUGAUUAGAUACCGUCGUAGUCUUAACCGUAAACGAUACCAACACGAGAUUGGUAGUGAGACUUUUAGAUCCUAUCAGAAUCCAAGGGAAACCGUUAAGUUUUUGGGUUCUGGGGGGAAGUAUGGUCCGCAAGGCUGAAACUUAAAGGAAUUGACGGAAAGGCACCACCAGGAGU
rnacentral:rRNA from 1 species